AUGCUAAUGCAUACUCUCUCUCUCUCUCUCUUUCUUGCCUUUUCUCAAGAUUCUCGAGAGUUGCUUCUCGUUGGAAUAUUUUUCGUUCGAAAUAAGACGAGAAAAAUAAAAAAAGUCGUUCGAGAGGCAGGCCGAUUAUUCUAACGAUUAUUACGAACUAGUGAAUGACAAAUAUUUUAUCGGUAGACCAAUCGUCUCGCAAUUGUAUUGAAUUUCUCGAAUAUUUUGAACUUACAAACUAGUAGGAAGGUUGUUAAUUCGAAGACGUUCUCUUUUCUUCUUUUUCUUCGAGCUCGUCGUUUAACGAUCGAGUAUCGUCUCUUUGAUUUCUUGUUGUUUGUCUUUGAAAGGAAUUUCGAGGAUGAUUCUUCGUUCGAAGUUUCGAGCUUAAACCCCUUCCUCGUUCGACGAUCUCUCGGAAAGUACUGAGGGAACGUUGAACGUGCUCGUCGCCACGUAAAUAUCGCCGGAGACGAAUCUUUAAGAAUACACUCGUAUACAAUCACACGUAAACAUACACGUAACGCGGGAGAAACACAUACGUACAUAAACACACGACACAUAAAUAAUUACGUACACGAAUACAUUUACCAAGUAUACAAAAAGUUUCAACUCAACGUUUUCGUAUAUCUAAGGUAGAGCCGUCGAGAGAAUAUUUUUUAUAUUCCACAUGGAUUUUACAGUUAAUAUCAUUGAUUAUCGUUUCGUAGAGAAAAAGAAUGGGAAAGAAGGAAUUCAAAGACGCGGCUUUCUCACGCGGCAUAAAAGAAAGCAAAGGGUAGAUUUUCAAAAAAAAAAAGACUUCCCUCACCUCCUUCAAAGUGUACACACCUACACGUUUAUCGUUUCUAGAGAUCGACAGAUCUCUGCAAGAUUAUUUUGGCUAUGUACACGCAAACACACCUGUACACUCGCGUGUCCUUUUCUAUUCCACGAUUAAACGUCCCUCACUUCCCCUUUUUACUUCAUAGUACAUACGUACACACAUACAUACGUUCUAAAAAGCGUUCGAGAGAUUUUCGAAGAUUUUCAUAUUCACCGGCCGAAAGCUUUCUUUGCCGAACAGGGAAAGAGCAACAAAUGAAACAAAAAAAAAUUGCGAAAGAUUUAGCGUGUACACAUUGAAAGCACAUACACACAUACAUGCAUACACAUAUACACGAUAUACGCAUGCUUAAGCAAGCGAGAAAGCGAGUUUGUAUAGAAUACGAUCUACGUAAGACGUAAUUGUAAAUCGAUACGAUUAGAAUAUGGUUUUUAAGAGGUACGAUUAGUAACGUUAAUUUUGUUAAACCACUUUACUUAAGAUCCAAACGACGACGGCGGUCGUCGUGGAUCGAUAAACGCGGUGCGACGAAAACGCGAUCGAAAGAGAACGUUCGAGCGUUCGAACGAACGAACGAUGAGAAGAGGAAAGGGCAAGUGUUUUCUUUCGACCAAAACAAAAACACGAAGAAACAUAUAGAAAAAUAAAGACAGAGUGACUUUGAAUCGUUCGAUGCUCGAAGGUUUUCGAUGAAGAAAGGCUGUAACGUGGAAUGCGCUGGAGAGAGAGAGAGAGAGAGAGAAAGAGAGAGAGAGAGAGAGAGAGAGAGAGAGAGAGAGAGAGAGAGAGAGAGAGAGAGAAAGAG